GACAGAGGCCUCGAGCGUUAGGCGGAAUCACUGGGCUUAAAGCGUGUGUAGGCGGAUCGUUAAGUACGUUGUGAAAUCCCACGGCUCAACCGUGGAACGGCUGGGUAUACUGGCGGUCUUGGGCCAUUCAGGGGCGACUGGAACAAGCGGUGGAGCGGUGAAAUGCGUAGAUAUCGGGAGGAACACCAGUGGCGAAGGCGGCGAUCUGGGAAGAUACUGACGCUGAGGUGCGAAAGCGUGGGGAGCAAACAGG
rnacentral:rRNA from 1 species